rnacentral:rRNA from 1 species
UGACCUCGGAUCGGUACGAC